CCUACGGGAGGCAGCAGUGGGGAAUUUUGGACAAUGGGCGAAAGCCUGAUCCAGCAAUGCCGCGUGCAGGAAGAAGGCCUUCGGGUUGUAAACUGCUUUUGUACGGAACGAAACGGUCUGCUUUAAUACAGUGGGCUAAUGACGGUACCGUAAGAAUAAGCACCGGCUAACUACGUGCCAGCAGCCGCGGUAAUACGUAGGGUGCGAGCGUUAAUCGGAAUUACUGGGCGUAAAGCGUGCGCAGGCGGUUAUAUAAGACAGUUGUGAAAUCCCCGGGCUCAACCUGGGAAUUGCAUCUGUGACUGUAUAGCUAGAGUACGGUAGAGGGGGAUGGAAUUCCGCGUGUAGCAGUGAAAUGCGUAGAUAUGCGGAGGAACACCGAUGGCGAAGGCAAUCCCCUGGACCUGUACUGACGCUCAUGCACGAAGGCGUGGGGAGCAAACAGGAUUAGAUACCCUGGUAGUCCACGCCCUAAACGAUGUCAACUGGUUGUUGGGUGCAUUAGUACUCAGUAACGAAGCUAACGCGUGAAGUUGACCGCCUGGGGAGUACGGCCGCAAGGUUGAAACUUAAAGGAAUUGACGG
rnacentral:rRNA from 1 species